rnacentral:rRNA from 1 species
UACGUAGGGUGCGAGCGUUGCCCGGAUUUAUUGGGCGUAAAGGGCGCGUAGGCGGUUUGCUAAGUCAGUUGUGAAAGCCCGGGGCUCAACCCCGGAGGGUCGGCUGAUACUGGUGGACUAGAGUACGGAAGAGGUAGCUGGAAUUCCCGGUGUAGCGGUGAAAUGCGUAGAUAUCAGGAAGAACACCAAUGGCGAAGGCAGCUCUCUGGAACGGUACUGACGCUGAGGAGCGAAAGCCAGGGGAGCAAACGGG